GAAUGUAGUAACAUGCCUUAGAGAAUUUGCUCAAUUCCUUACAAGAUACUCUCUAUUUUCACACACAUUUUUUGACUACACACCCUACACUAGUAUAUGUGAGAAGAUUGAUGUAAACACGAAAGAUAAGGACUCACAUAUGUUAUAACAAAGAAAGCAAUUUUCUGGAGUUAUUAAGCAUGUUUAGAUAUGAUUUCAUGAAUGGAAUGCUACUACUUAGAUGCGAGAACCAGUGACACCAUAUGCUCAUACCAAUUUCGAACUCCAC
rnacentral:lncRNA from 1 species